rnacentral:rRNA from 1 species
UACAGAGGUCCCAAGCGUUGUUCGGAUUCACUGGGCGUAAAGGGUGCGUAGGUGGUGAGGUAAGUCUGAUGUGAAAGCCCUGGGCUCAACCUGGGAAUUGCAUUGGAUACUGGCAGGCUAGAGUGCGGUAGAGGAUGGCGGAAUUCCCGGUGUAGCAGUGAAAUGCGUAGAGAUCGGGAGGAACAUCUGUGGCGAAGGCGGCCAUCUGGACCAGCACUGACACUGAGGCACGAAAGCGUGGGGAGCAAACAGG